UCCUCCUCCGUUGUAACCUCCAUGGCCACCACCAUAUCCAUCAGGUUUCUCAUUUUCCUCACUCUCUGACUUCACCGUGCCUGUUCCAAACACACACAAAAAAAAAACAAAAUUAUUUCAAAAAUAUUUUUAAGCACGUGCAAAUGUGCAUUCCUUUGCCUAUUUCAUAAUUGAACACUUUUAAAAAAUGUAUAGAAAUUCGGGAUAAUGAUGUAGUUGUAGUGACAGAAUUACUCUGAACAGCUUCUAGUCCAUGUCCCCCGCGGCCUCCAUGUCCCCCGUGGCCUCCUCCUCCGUAGUGUCCUCCUCCGUGGCCACCACCAUAUCCAUCAGGUUUCACAGUUUCCUCACUCUCUGAGUUCACCGUGCCUAUCCCAAAAGCGAAACCACAUUAUUUUAUAAAUAUUGUUAGUACGUACAAAUGUGCAUUCCUCUCCCCAAUUUCAUAAUUAAAUUUCUCUUAAAAACUUUCUAAAAUAUGUAUAUAAUUCCGAUCUCUAGUUAUAAAAAAAAUGAGUUCAACAUUAAAUAUACGUUUUAUAUAAAUUGGCGUCAAGCAUCUAAAUAGUUUGGGAGGGUCUAAUAGGUAUAAGAGCAUGUACAUCAGUGAACCCUUAAAAGAGGGGUUUAACAGAAUAUAAUAACAUUUUUUUUUUGUUUUAGUUUUUUUUUUUUUUAAUUCGAAAAUUAUAAUUUUCGACCAUGUUUUAUUUGGGAUGAUACCGUCUCUUCAGGUUCGUCGGGAUGAUACUGUCUCUUUAAUAUUAAGAUCUUUUGUCUCAAAAACCGUGCCAUGAACCCCUCUUGAUCCUCUGAUGUAGAUGCUCUAAGAAGGACUAAACGUCAUAAGUAAGCGUAAGUGUCUUUUCUUACUAGGACAUCAACAUGAUACUUAAGUGUGUUUAUGACUUAGUGAGUCCAAAUAAUUGACCAUCGUUCACCCCAACUUUUCGCAUUUAAAACGGACGAGAUAGUUGGACAAAAUUAUCAAAUGGUACGUUAGUCCGGUUAGAUUAGCUUCACGAUAAUUUUUUUGUUUUCUAUAAAAUAAUUUUACGUACCCGACUGCCUUGCUGAGACGACGAGAAGAAAUGCAAACACACCCAACAGAAGCAAAGUCUUGGAAGCCAUUUUCUUCAAACUGCUUAUAACACUUUUAAUUUGUAUAUAUGGAGAAAGAAGUGAUGAAUAAAAUGUUAGCCUGCAUGCUCUCUAUUUAAGGAAAACGAGGAGGGCAGAAUGAGGAAAAGUCAAAUAAAUAAUUCGUAGUGCAGUGAAAAGAAGUAUUUUUUUAAUUAAAAGCAAAAGGGAGAUUUAGUGUAUCACAAAAUUUAGAGAAAUUGCAUUGUUUGCAGAUAAAGACACACUUUUUAGUAGCAAAUAAAUAAAACUAUAUUUCUUUGCGCAAGCGAACAAAAGGGAGUUGUAUUAUUCUAGAAGAGUUUAGAUCUAAUUUAUACCCCCCAAAAAAUAUAGUUUAGAUAUCUUUAUCUGUAUCAUGCAAUCUUUCUUUGUAAACAUCUUGAAUAGAGUUAAUAUAUGUUACGUGAUUUAUAUUAGAUUGCAUGAAACAAAAAAUACGUGAAACAAAGUGUUUCGAAAAGGAUAACAAUUUUAAAAAUGAUAGGAAACGUUUGCUUUCGGAAACAUAUAUUAUAUAUAAAACAUCAAAAUCAUAUGAAAAACAAAACGAAACAUUAAAACCAAACGAACUUUAAUACUUAUAUAUCAAACAGAUAAAUAAAGAUACAAAUCCAAACGUGGUAAGAAGAUAACGAAAUUUUCAUAUUUUCGAAUUUACUUCAUCUAUCCUACAAAUAAGAUGGUAAGACGAUCGAUAAGUAUGAUCAAAGUAUAUCUGUAUCCGUUGCGUCGAUUCCCAUAUGGUGGGUUGUUGGAUUGUGAUUUGUGAAAAACUUUAACCUCAAUAGUCUUUUAGAUAUUUCUUAUCAACGUCUUUAAACAUAGGAACCAUCGGACAAGUAUUGAACUAUUGAUAUGUAAGAAUUACAUUAUUGGCCAUAACUGGUAUUAUUGUUACAUUAUUAUUACUAUAAUUUGGACACAAAAUUAGUCCACUAUUUGUACUUUAACUCUUUAAGGAUCUUCUUUGAAAAUCUCAGCCGACAGGUUUUUAAGCAGACGGAUAAAGAAUUAAUACGAAGUAAUUACUAAGAACUUACCUUUAAAGGGUGAAAUUUUGCUUGGCUAUAAUUUAUUCAGGCCUACAUCGAUAAAAAAAAAUAAAAAUCAUUCCAGUGACCUAAGUGUAAAGGAGCUUGAGAUAUACGUGUUGAGAAGAUGAGCAUUAUUAAGUGUACAGAAUGUAGCUGCCGUCCUAAUUAUAAUAAAAUAGAAGUUAAUCCGCACAUUGUAAGGGAUAAUGUUUUUUUAAUUAUUUUUAAAUUUAAUUUAAUUUUUUUUAGUUAAAUUAAAAUUGGUGGCAAAAAUAUUUUAACAAAAAAUAUAAAUAAACAAAAUUAAUAAAAAUUAAAUAAUAUAUAUAUAUAAAUAUCACACAACCGAUAUUUAUUUGUAUAUAUAUAUAUAUUAUAGAGUAUGACUUUGAGCUAAUUUUGUUAUGCAGUUUAAUUAUUCAUAAAAUAAGAAUUUAAUUUUGAAUAUUUUAUUAGAGAUUAAACUAUUAUUUUUAGUUAAUAAAUUAUAAUAUAUGUUAAUAAUAAUUAUAUAUAGGAUUAGACAAAUUCGUCUAUUUAAUUUAUUUUAUAAUUUUUAAAAUAUUAUUUCGACCAAUCCGCAAAAAAUAGAUUUUAAACUUUAAAUUAUAUUUUAUUUUUUAUAAUAAUAAUUGAAUUGAUUUUCAAAAAUGAUGCUAAUUAAUUAUGAAAAUACAAAUGAAAAAUAUUGCAAAAUUUAAAUAGUUUUUCAUAUAUAUGGAUUGAUUAUUAUUUAAAAUAAUAGAAUAUAUUUUAACAUUUUAAUAAGUAAAAAGCAAAAUACAUUUUUUAUUUAUAUCCAUAUAUAUUCAAAACAAAUAUGUGAGCUAUAUAUUUAACUAUCUCUUGUGAAGAAAUAUUUAAUUAAAAAUUUUAUAUUUGUAAAAUUUAUUUAUUUAAUAUCUUUUAAGUAAAGGUUUAUUUAUGUAAUAUUUUAUAAAUAAAUAUUUAUUUAUGUAAAAUAUUCUGUAAUAUCUUACAAAUAAAAGUUUCUUUAUAAAAUGUCUAUUCAAAUAAUAAUGUAGAGAUGUAAUUUAAUUAAAGUCUAAUUGAUAUGAACUUCAUAAUUAUUAUAAAAAUAUGAUCAAUUCCAUGCGAGUGAAAAAGAUUUACAUAGUUAUCGUUUAUUUCUCAUACAAAACUAUUUUAAUUUUAAAGAGUAAAACGUAGCAGAAAAUGAAAACUGGAACUUUUUUAGAAUAUGACAGCUAGUUUUAAAAAUGGGAGAUGGCUACAAUACCGUUUCAAAAUAAUAGAUUAAAACUUAAUCCCAGAUAUCCGACUUGUUGAUGGUUUCUAUUUGCUUACGCACACUAAAUAUAUUAACACUCAAGAGAGGGAAAGUGUAAAUUGUAUUAAUGAAAGUGUUAGUGAACCGUAUUACAUUAAUUCCCUUUUAUAUACCAACUAGGUUAAGAAUAAAUACAUAUAUGUUAAUACAUCCCUCUCAAACCGAAUCAACCUUAGGUAGAAAGAGGUUUGAUAAUAAUACACGACUAAGCAAAAAAUGAAAUGGACCUAGAUGCAAAGGCUUCGUCAACAUAUCAGCAAGCUGAUUCGAAGUAGAGACAUGAAGAACAUUUAGGAAGCCAUUCUUCACCUGAUCUCGGGUUAUGUGGGAAUCAAUUUCCACAUGCUUAGUUCUCUCGUGAAAUACAGGGUUAUUGGCAAGAUUCAUAGCUGAUUUUUUUUAUCACAAAACAGGUUGGCUUCAGAAGUUACCGGGAUAUGAAGAUCAGUCAGUAAUUGGUGCAGCCAAAGUAACUCUCCCGUAGUAACAGCCAUGCUCCGAUAUUUGGCCUCCGUGCUGCUUCUAUUAACCAUUUCCUGUUUCUUGGACUUCUAGGUGAUAAGAGAUGUUCCAAGAAAUACACACAGACUCGUUACAGAACGACUGCAUCUGAAAAUCCAUUCAAGCAUAACUCUGUAGUAGCAUAAUAGAAAAAACCUUAGCCCAGAUUUUCUUCAAAUAUUUAAGGAUCUGGAAAGCAGCUUGAAAAUGAACAUUAGUGGGGAAAGACAGAUACUGACUCCACUGAUGCAGCGCAAAAGUGAUAUCAGGACGAGUAAUGCAGAGAUAUUGCAAUCGACCAAUCAAUUCGCGAUAUGAAGUUGUAUCAGAAAGAGACGUACCCGCGGACUGGAUCCAUCAAAACUGAUUUUGGUUUAUAACCAAGGAGACCAUAAUCUUCAAUAAGAUCCAAGCAGUAUUUCCUCUGUGAAACAGAUAACCCCGAAGCAUUCCUUGCAAUCUCAAGACUCAAGAAGAAAUGAGCUUGGCCAAGAUCUUUGGUCUUGAAUGGGAUUGUGAUAUAUUCAUAUCAUUUCGUGUUUAGGAUGCAUUUUUGGUCCAAGAAUAGAGCCUCAUGCAUACAUUUUAGAUAGAUUCUUCAUGUUUUCUUUGUUUUAGAGGUUUAGGACUUUGCAUUAGGUCCAAGUGAGUCUUGCAUGUUUGGAGUGUCAAUCAGGUGCUUUGGAGGUCAUCUGGAGAUGAAAAUAUGGAACCAGGUGAAGAAAUGGUGAAAGAAGGGCAAGAUAUGGUAAAAAUGAGGUUUUGGAGGUUAUCGGCAAAAUUGCUUACUGCGGGAAGAUUUUUAUCGGCCAAAAAUCAUUCCCGGGAAGCAGUUAUCGGCCAAAACAUGUACCAGACCAAGUCUGUAUCGGCAAAAAUCCUUUGUCGUGGGAAAAAAUGUUUAUCGGCUAAAAUACGUACCGCAGUACGUAACUUAUCGGCCAAAACGUGAAUUAUCGGCCAAAAGUUUCCCGACCCGAUAUGCUUCAAAGAUGCCUUUACCAGAAAGCUUUCUCGUCCGAUUCAGUUUCUAGUGUUUUCACAAACGUUCAAGAGAAUUGAGUCACAAUUCCAGAACAGUUGGAAUCAAUGGAUUUGGAGCAGUGAGCUGAAAGAUACGGCCAACAGAAGAUGAAUCUGCCUCGCAUCCAUUCUGGUCAUAUCCGAUGCGACUCAAAGAUCACUCAGGAUGAAACUCUUCCCUUCCAAUCUAGUUUCCGGGGCUCUAUCAAGAUUUGAGAGAUUCGAGUCAUAUUUCCAUAACGCUUAGAAUCAUUCCAUUUGGAGUGUUGAGUUGGGAGAUAUCGCAUUCGGGAGACAGACAUGCCCUGCAGUAAGAAACUAGAACCUCCCGAGCCAAUGCAAUGAUCCGUUUACCGGAAGGCCUCUCUCACCCGGGAUGCACUUAAGUUCUUCAUCAAAGUUGUAUGGAAUUGAGCUGCCUUUCCUCUGGAGUUUCUCUCGAGUCAUUUAGACUCAUAUCCCACAAGUUAUGCUAGCUCAAGUAAACAUAGAUCCGAGGAAAUGAGAAAUGCUGCGACAUGGCUUUGCGACUCGGUCAACUUGCAGCGAUGAAUGUUUAAAUUCUGGGAGCAAGCUGAGACUUGAAAUGAUGCGGGUGAGGUGACUCGGAGCAGGGUAAGGAUUUCCAAAGCUCAAAUAUUUCUAAGUCCAGAACAGCCUAUGACAUGGCAGUGCGAGAUUGAUGAUGAGAUGAACCAUGUCGCACACACACUCGCUUGGGGCCGCGACAUGACAGUGCGAGAUGGAUGAAGAGAAGUAACAUGUCGCACUCCUACUCUCUUGGGGCUGCGAACGUGAAGCUGUGAGUGGGAAAAGAAGGAUUUAAGCUGCAAGUACAAUUGCUUGAAUGAUACGACAUGAAAGUGCGGCUGAAGAAGCAAGGGAGCUGAGACGUAACAACAUUCACUUGGGGCUGCGAGAUGGCAGUGUAGGUGAACUGAAGCCAGGACCAUCUCGCACCAUGGCCACAUGACCCAACUGAACCAGGUCAGUACACAGUUUGUCUUGAGCUGACCCGCUCCAAAACACUUAGUAUAAAUAGCUUUUAGGGUUUUUUUCCAAAGAACAUCUCAUUUUCCUUUAGGUUUUUAGCCACUUUUGUGUAAGAGACAACUAAAGAGAGAUAUCUCCUUUCUUUUCUUUGAAUCAAAAAUGUUUGAGAGCUUAAUCUAUCUAUCUUAUCAUCAUUACUAUUCAUCAUCUUGUUUUCUCUAUCAACUAAUCAUGUUUAAUUACUUUUCUUGCAAAGGAAUCAGAGAGUUAAUCAUGAUUAGUGAGUAGUCGCGUCAUUAGGGUUCUAGAUAUGUAAGUUAGGGUGUUUAGAGGUUUGAUUAAGGCUGCUUAGGAUUAAAUUUAUACAUCUCUGUCUUGUUUAGCUGAUUUUAAUGCUUGGUUAUAGAUGAUCUCUCUAACCCAGAUUUUGGGCAUUUCAUCUACCCAAAACGUGUUUGAUGAAAUGCCUGAACCAGCUAAGUCAAGAGUCUAUUGUUUGAUUCACAUGAAAAUGUUGUUUUGAGCAUAGAUGGUAUAUUAGGAUUCGUGUUUAAUGCAUUCCUUUCAUUGUGACUCUAAUGAUGAUUAGGUAUGAGCAAUGUUUGGUAUUGUGUUUUGAUGCUUGAGAAAUAUUGAAACUUGAUUUGAAUCCUAAGCUGCUUAGAUCAUUCAUCAUCAUUGUCAUUAGCUCCUUGAUUAAACUAUGAUGCACCCUAGAAACUAUCAUGUCUAGAGCUCUAAGUUUCAUCAUAUUCAUAUCAUCUUAAUCAUUUUCUGUCUUUAUUUAUUGCUUGUUUAAUUCUUUAAUCUUGUUUAAUUGCAAUUCUGUCACUUGUUUGAAACUAAAACAUUUUGUUUGUUUGAAUUAAGAAUAGUUCAUAUAGAUUAGUGAACUAAACACCACACCUUGGAUUGAUAACCUUUGUACUACAACAGACAAAGGGAUUGAUACCCUAAGAGCCUUGAAAAAUCUUGUCUACCAUAUUGAGAGAAUCUUCUAAAUAGACUUGACAGCUUCAUCAUCAUUGCUCGCUAUAAGGAUGUCAUCGACAUAGAUCAGGAGAUAAAUAAAUAAUGUACCUGUUAGCUUCACAAAGAGGGUGUUAUAUGCAUAAGACUGUACAAAUCCGGCAUCAAGUAAGACCUUCGACAAACACUUGUACCAUUAACGAGAUGUCUGCUUCAAGUCAUAGAUGGAUUUAUCAAGUUUGCAAACCUGAUUAGCAGGCAGAUGAACAUCAGCUGGAGUGUAACAUCGUGGCAAGCUCAUGUAUAUCUCCUCAUCGAGCUUACUGUGCAAGAAAGCAUUGGUUACAUCCAUUUGGGUUAAGCUCCAACCCAUUCAUGCGGCUAAACCAAGGAUAAGCUUCACACUGGCAAGCUUGGAAACUGGGAAAAGGUGUCAAAGUAAUCAACACCUUUUUGUUUUGUGUAUCCCUUUGCUACCAGGCAAGCUUUAUAACGCUCCACAUUUCCAUCUGCAUUAUACUUAAUGGUAAACACCCAUUUACAACCAACAACAUUUUCCCUCGGAGGCAAUGACACAACACUCCACGUAUUGGUUGACUCCAUUGCUCCGAAUUCCAAAUUGAAAGCAUCAGUCCAUUCUUUGGAUGAAAUCACCUGCUUAAAGGUGUUAGGCUCAGUCUCCAUUGAAAAAGAGAGAACAAUAGACUGAUAUGGGGUGUUAAGAGUAGAGUAAGAGAGAACAGAAGAAAGAGGAUAUGGAGUAGUAUAAACCUUUAUAGAAAUGGGAGGAGUAGAAAUUUUUGUUAAAGAACAAUGAUAAUUGGACAAAUAACGUGGUACUUUUGUCGAGUGUUUUAGCCUGGCAUUGGGAAGUGAAACCAGAGCAUUCUCUGUGACAACAGGGUGAUGGAUUUUCCUUGGAGCACUAGAGUGAGAUGAUGAUGCAUGUGAUGUAUAAAGCGGAGGAGAAUGGAUGGUCACAGUAGAUGAAGGAUGCAAAUUAUUAGGCAGUGAAAUCACCUAAUCUAAUGCAACAAGAAUUGGCAAUGGUAAUAUAAACUCUAAAAAAAUAUCAGAAGAUGAACUAGAAAGAAGAUGCUCAGUAAAAGGAAAUAUUGUCUCAUGAAAAACAACAUUUCGAGAAACAGAGAUAAUUUUUGAAUCAAGGUUCAAGACAUUAGAAUACCCUAAGAGUACACAUCGAUCCACACGAGGACUAAAAUUAUGUUUAUCCUUCUGUAACGUAGAAACAUAACAUAAGCAGCCAAAAGAUCUUAAGAAUAAGUAAUCGGGCUUCUUAAGCAUAACCAACUCAUAUGGAGAUUUGUGUUUAAGAAUAACAGAAGGUAAUCUGUUUAUCAAAAGACAACUCCAAAUGAAGAUCCGCUUGCGGCUAUAGCUAGAUCUGAGAGUUGCGAAUAUGCUUACAAAUUUUCAGGCUGAUCCAAUCCGAUUUGCCUGUCUGUUUCUCUCUUACACCAUAACAGGUCGGAUCUGCCACCUAGAUGGUUACAAUGGCUUCGCCUUUAAGGUUCUUGGCCACAAGAUAGCUCUCUGAUCUCUUCUAAGACAUGGCUGCUCUAUUUAUAGAGUGGAGAAGAGAUACUUCUAAAUUUAGAGUUUUAGAGAGGAAAAUAAUGAAAAUGGGUUUGAGAGUUUUUCUGAUGGGUUUUGAGUAAUCAGGCUGAAAAAAAAAAAAAAAAUUAGACCAAACCCUAUUCUUGGGAUGUCACAGAUUUAUUAGAGAAUAUAUUUACAUGAGUUUAUAAUUAUUUGUAUGAUAUUUACAUGAGUUUAUAAUUAAAUCGUACAUUAACAUAGCAUCGUUAUUGGAUAGUUAGUCGGAUCGGUUCAACCGGUCAUACGAAAAGUUUGUUUAAUAUAUAUAUAUAUAUAAGAAAAUAAGAAUAGUUAUUUUAAGAAAAAUAAAGAAAAUAAAAUUAAUUUCUUUUAAUUAUUUACAACUGCCAGCCAGCGAUUACAUCCGUCGCUUGAAGAAACUUAUUAUCUAAAUGAAUAAAUAAACUUUUAAUUUAUAGCGGUUCUAAGCGUCACAAAGAGAUAAGAAACAAGUUCAACGGUUUUAGUGAUUGUUAUUAAACGUCACGAAAAUAUAACCGUAUGCAAACAUAGCGUAUGUGGCUGGCAGCGAGAAAACUAUCCAACACUAAAUAUUACAUAUUUACUUUAAAAUUCAUGCCUGCUUAUUACCAAACCAUAUUUUUACCAAUUUUAAUUGUGACAUUUAAUGUCCGCACAUGCGUACAGGCCAGUCAUAAAUCUGAUAUAUUGCAUUCACAUCAAUUUGUGUGUAUUUUUGUUUUGAUAUGUCUUCUGAUUUUUUUCUGUCCUAUGUAACCAUUUUUUGAUAAUUUUAAUUGGUUGAUCAUUAAUCUUUACGUGUCUUUUAAAAGUGAUGUGGUAUAAUCGUUUUAAUUAGAUUAUUAAAGCUCGUUUAAGAUUGUCUUUUUAAAAACGACAAAAAAAAUCGGACAAAGUAAGUAAUAAAAAUAAAUGUAUGACCCAUAUAUUUGAAAGUGUCACUGGCCCAAUGGCAGAAGUCUCCCUUAUGCAUUUGAAGGACAUGUGUUUGAACCAAGGUGGUAACAAUUUUUUAAAAAAUCGUAGAAUUUUAAAACGACAUCGUUUUGAGUUAACCUAACAGUAACAGCAGAGUUAACAGCGUUUAACUUUUCUGUUAACUUUAUAAACGGAGUGCUGAUUUGGCAAGUCAACGAAAAGUUUGUUAUUAUUUAUGGAAGUCAACAAAAAUUAAAUGUUUAUUUGGCUAGCCUGACAGUUCAUGCUUUUUUUUGGCAAAAUGUGGAAAGUUUAAGGUUUUUUUGGCCGAAUUCUCAAAAUAAACUCAUUAAAGUUCGUUUAAAUUGUUUUUUUAACCAAUAAACAUUAAAACCUGUUUAAGAUUGUCUUUCUAAAAACCAAUUAAAGUCUGUUUAUAGUUGUUUUUAUUAAAACCAAUGAACUCAAAAAACCUAAUAUACUUCUUCGAUACACUAAAUAUAUAUAUAUAUAUCCUCUCUAACAUAGUUUGUCUUUUAAUGUUCUCUUUUUCGGUAAACAUUACAUUUGCUUUUUUCUAUUAAUUUUAUUAACGUACGCUUGAGUUUGAGUUUGUUGCUUGUGCUUAUAAAUUUUUUUGUAACAAUUCCUAAUCUUUUUAAGAUUAUGAUUGAAAAUGUUAGUAUAAACAACCAUAGUUUAAAAAAUAGCAUCAAUGUUCACAUACUCGUGAAACAAUGUAUAGCAUCAAGUCUAUCAAUUUUUUUGGUCUCUUAUUUUAGAUUUGAUGCGGCAAAAAGAUUGCUUUGGGAACCAAGUCUUUUUUUUUGUUGGAAUUAUCUUCUAUUCUUGUCAGUUUUUAUUUUUCAUGCAAACGUUGACAUUAAAAUCUCUUUGUUAGAUUUGAUACCAUAUUAAAUUUCAAAUCUGAAUUAAUCAUUAUAUUUAUACAUUAUUAUUAUGGAUGAGUUUAUUUUCGUUAUCUGUAGCCCAAACUCUCUUCCCACGAAAAAAACGAUUAAACCAAUAAUAUUUAUUAUAAACAGGCCGAUAGACUUUAGUAUAAACAAGUUUCAAUAGCCUAAUUAUAACAAAAUUUGUCACAUCGCUUUAAAGCACGUAUAGAAUUAAUGAACGAACAAAAAAUAAAUACAUGACAUGUCAGGACAAAACGACACAUAAGAUUUUGGACUUCACAAAUAAUAGUAACUAGGAAUUAACAUGCACAUUGUGCGGGGUAAUGUUUUUAAGAAUUUUAAAUAUUUUUUAAAAAAAUUUUGGUUAAGUUAAAAAUUGGUAGCAAAAACCUUUUAACAAAAAAUAUAAAUAAAUAAAAUUGGUAGCAAUUAGAUAACUAUAUAUAUAUAUAUAUAUAUAAAUAUCAUACAACCGAUAUUUACGUGUAUAUGUAUCUAUUGAAAGAACUUUGAGCUAGUUUUGUUAUGCGGUGUAAUUAUUAGUAGUUUUUAAAUGUGAAGGUGAUGUGAUGUUAAUAUAUUCAUACUUAUAUACUGCUGGGAUAAAUUCGAUCCUUCCUACAUGGACGAACUGCAUGCUUGCACGUGGCGUCCAUGUUUUUUUUUUCAGGUACGGCCCCCCUGGGCCAAAUUAGGAUCCGUAGUGGGUCGUAAGCAUAUAGCACUGGGCCUCGAAUCCAUAAGGAUUCGGGAGAUCCGGUACGAUAGAUCACUUGUUCCCGGGUUCCUCGUAUCUAAUAGUGCAGGCCACGCUGUCAGAAGUAAGGAGGUCGAAACUGAGUGGUCAAGAGGAGGAGAAGUCCCAUUUUCUAUGUCCUAGGCCUAAACAUGGUAAUCCGGAAAGGUCGAGAUAUAAGGUAGUGUGGCCUACACAGGAUCUGGAGAGCGGAGUCAUCCAUCGAGACAACCCCGACAGCCCGGUCCCAGUAUCGAGGGAUCCAUGUCAGGUAUGAAAUAAUUUUAUGAGCGGAAAACACUAUUCAAAUUUUCCUCCAUUCGAUAAUAGGAAUAUGCCUUAGUAUGAUUUGAUUGCCCAUACUCUUACAAAACCAUGAAAUUGGCAUUUAAUGCACCCUUCUUACAUGUGUCAGGCGACAGCGACCUUUCACAGAAACUAGAGGAAAAGAAGAGGUUCAUCAAGAGUUAUACCGCGUAUGAACCGCCAACCCAAUCCGUACACUGGAGACGAAAGGAACAUGCUAAGGAGCGGUCUCGCAGCAGGCAGAACACGUCAAGGAAAGUUGGUGAGACCGUCAGAGGUAUGACGUGGGAAAAAGAUUUGAACCCAAUAAAAUCGGAUCGAGAACCGACCAACCCACCCGACUCGCUAUGCAAGGACAGACCCGGUAUACUAACCCGGGUCAGGUAAAAUCCUAUAAAUACAUUAUCCUUUCCAACAAGGAAGGAGAUCACUUUUAUUUGCUAUCUUAAGGCUCAUAUUAUCUCUCUAGAUACUUGUGAUCUUUGAGCCCUAACAUAUUAUACUUUCCGGUCAUUACUCAGAACAAUGUUUUAGUUCUUCUCCACGGCGGUUCCUAAAUCGUGGAGUAUUUCCACCCACAAACUCUUUCAUUUCUUCUCUUUUAACUAAUUCUUUAUAAGGAACGCUGGGCCCAUCUUUCUUCUCUCGUUUUCCGAACUCUUUCCUCUCUCCAAUUAGUCACUCUGUGAUCUUUCUUCACUGUUUUCUGACUUGAACGUCGGAGAACCUUCCGAAAACACACCAUCAUCGUGUUUUUUGGGCCUUCACGUGCUUUCUGUUUUUGCAAGAGACUUACCCCCACAAAGGAUCAAAAAUCUCUAAAUAGUUUAGCGCUAGAAAGAGGAGGGCAACACUCUUCUAUAGGAAGAACUGAAACCAUACACGACCUUGAAGGUAUGUCAUGACAAGAGAAGACGGAGGUAGCUCACCAGAGAACGACACCUUGGAGGGGAUGGAAGGAGAGAACAUCUGCUGGGUCGACAGACCGACCAAGCUAUUCUCGGGAUGCCCGAUGAUAAGGGGAACAUCUUUGGUUCCCCACGCCGCCGCCAAACGCACACUCAGAACUCGUCCAGAGUGUAGAAGAAAAUGCCCUGUAAAAUUCCUUACAUCCAAAAACCUUAGUGAAAGUGUUGGCAAACUGGUCAUUAUAUAUAACAAAUGAGUUAAAGACUCGUGGGCAAUGCCCAAUAAAGUCUGCCAUGGAUUGGUCCUGUACAACAGUUUUUAUAUCAAUUAAAAAGUGCAGGCCUCGUAGGUUGAUCGAUUGCAGUUUGCGGAUUAAACAAUUGGGAUCUAUACUAGUUUCGGCAAAGAUAAUUGACAAGAACGUCCAAAACCGGCUAAGUGAAAGACAACGUCUUGGAGACCAAAAGUAUGAAAGAAGCCUCAUGUAUUGGUUUGCCACACACAAAAAAAAAACUAUUUGUUUUUAGUUUCCAUUUUAUAAAAAAAAACUAGGUAUUUAGCCCUUUUUUGCAUGGGCAGAGAAGUUUAUUAAAUAAUACUAGGAGAGAAUCCGCGCGUAUGCGCAGAUCUUGUUUUAAUUUAUAUUUUGAAUAAUUUGUAUUGAAUUUUAUGUUUACUAUUAUUGUAUUUUUGUUUAGAAUAUUUAUAAUAAAUUAUUUGUAAUCUCUUCUACACCAGUUGUGUCAAAUAGUCUAAUUUUUUCUUCGAUCUUCAUAUUCUUUUUAUUCUUGUAAAUCUUACUAAUAUAAUAUUUGUUAAUUUUCUUAAUUUUCUAUUUGAAUUUUUUUGGUUAUAUAUAUUUUAUUGAUACCAUCUUUUUAUUAUUAAAAAAAUUAUAUAUGACAUUUUUAUGUGGAUACUUUUUUUUACUAUUAUUUUUUUAAUAACUUUUAUCUUUUUAAUAGUUUAUUAAAUAUGCUUUGUGUUUUAUACUUUUAUUAGUUGAAUUUUUAUAUAAGAUUAUUUGAAACUUUUUAAUUUAGUCAGUCUCAUAAUUUUUUUCACUUGCAUUAAAAUUUAAUUAUAUUUUUAGUUUGUAAAUGAAUUUUAAAACAUUUGAAAAAAGAAAAUAGAACUAUGCAAUUAAAAAGUCUUAUAUUAUAUAAUAGUUAUAAGUUUUUAUAUAUUAAAAUUAAAUUUUAAUUUUAUUCUAAUAUAAAUAUAUGUUAAUAUUUAUUUAUGUUUUUAAUGUGUUUGCUUUAAAUAUGAUUAAUUAAUUAUUUUGUUAAUAUUUGAAGAGGAUAGGUGGUGCUCUCUCCAGUGCUGACGUGUCGCUCAACUGGAGAGAGUUGGCCAAAUUUUAUAUAUAUGACUAGGAGAAUACAUGCACGUAAUAUGCGGGUUUUUUCUUUAAUUAUUUCAAAUUGAUAUAUUUUUGUAUUUUUCUUAAAGAAAUAUAGUCAUCAUUUCUUCUAUGUUACUAUAUAAUUAUAAAUCAAUCAAUUUAAAAUUUAAUAUUAUUAAAAAAUCAAGAGUUUAUACAAAAAAGCUAUCAAUGUUUUAGCAUAAAUUCUUGUUUAAUAUUUAUAUAACUGUUAUUUAAGAAUCAGUUAAUAAAAAAAAACUAUUUUCUUUGAAUGGUUGAGAAUUUAAUACUAAAAUUUAUUAAUCAAUUUUUUUUUGAUAAUUGUAACUUUAAAUUAAAAAUUGACAAAUGUCAUCUCUAUAUUAACUCUAAAAUGCUGAUGUGUCACUCAUAUAUAGAGAGUUAGCCAUCUUUUAUAUAUAAGAUUAUAAGUAAACAAUAUAUUUGGUAGUUUAAUCUUCAUCUCUAAAGUAAUCAUUAUUUGCAUAGAUUAGUUUUAUGCAUUAUUUUAUUCAUUCAACUUUUAGCCUCAAAUUUCUCCUUUUUUGGCUAAAUUGACUAUCCUUACUGAUUUUUAUCUUCUCGUAAGCGUAGACGUGAAACCAUUUUAUCCAGUUGUAUGUAACAAAUCAAUCUUUUUUGCUAGCUUUGAUACCAUAUUUAGUUUCAUCUCUGAAAAUUUCAUUAUAUAUACAUUAAGUUUAAAGAUGAUUUUAGUUCUUCAUUCUCUUGAAAUUUCUCCCUGUUUAACGAAAAUUGUCUCUCUUUGGUUGAUACUUAUCUUUUAUGCAAGCGUGGAUACAAAACUUUAAUAUCAUGUUGAUACCAUGUUAAACUUUUUUAAAAUUAUAGUCAUUAUUUAUAGACAUUAAAUAUAUAGAUUAUUGUAACUAGGUGAAUCUCCGCACGUUACGUGCAAGUUUUUUUUUCUUCAACUAUUUCAAAUUUCAAAUUCCUAAGAAAAAUGCAAUCCUACUUUAUUAUGUGUUAGAAUAUUAUUAUAAAUCGAUCAUUUAAAAUAUAAUAUUAUUAAAAAAUUAAGAUUAUACAAAAAAAAAUCCAUCAAUAUUUUUAAUUAAUUAUAACAUAAAUUCUUGUUUAAUAUUUACAGAAAUAUUAUUUAAGAAUCAAUUAAUAAAAAACUUUUCAUUUUCUUUUAGUGUUUUAAAACUUCAUAUAAAAUUUAUUAAUUAAUUUUCCUUAAAAACUUUUGUAACUUUAAAUUAAGAAAUAUGACACAUAUCAUCCCUAUAUUAACUCUCAAAUGCUGAUGUGGCAUUCGUAUGAAGAGAGUUGGCCUUCUUUUAUAUAUAAAAUUUUUCAUUCUCUCUAGUCGGAAAUUUCUUCCUCUUUUGUCGGAAUUGUCUUUUGUUCUUCUAUGUUUUUAUAUUUCAUGCAAGCGUGUACAUAAAAUUAUUAUAUCAGAGCGUAGGUAAACAAUUCUUUUGUUAGCUUUGAUACCGUGUUAAGUUUCAAAUCUGAAUUAGUCAUUCUUUUAUACAUUAUUUUUUAUGGACGAAUUUAUUUUCAUUCUCCGUAGUUCGAUCUCUCUUCCCACGGAAAGACGAUUAAACUAAUAAUAAGAAAACCGCAGACUUUACAUUGAAACGAGCUGCAGAUAAAAUUUAGAAUAAAAUGGACUUUAAUGAUCCAGUUAGUAUGAACUAUGACACAUCACUUUCAAAACACACAUAGUAUAAAUGAACAAUUUAUUAAAAAGCUAGCUUUAAUACCAUGUUAGAAAAUAAACUAAUCCUUUUUGCUAGCUUUGAUACCAUGUUUAGUUUCAUCUCUGAAUUUUUCAUUAUAAAUAUACAUUAAGUUUAAAGAUAAUUUUGGUUCUUCAUUCUCUAGAACUUUUUCUCUGUUUAACGGAAAUUAUCUCUAUUUGUCAGUACUUAUCUUUUAUGCAAGUACAGCCACAAAAUUUUGAUAUCAAAGCGUAGGUAAUUAAACAAUUUUUUUGGUAAUUUUGAUAUCAUGUUAAUCUUUAUCUUCAAAAUAGUCAUUGUUCAUAUACAUUAAUUUUAUAGAUUAUUUUAAUUCUUCAUUCUCUCUAGCUGGAAAUUUCUUUCUAUUUUGUCAAAAUUGUCCUUUAUUUUUUUGGUUUUCAUCUUUCAUGCAAACAUGGACAGAAAACUAUUAUAUCAGAGCGUAGUUAAACAAUUCCUUUGUUAGUUUUGAUACUGUGUUAAGUUUUGAAUCUGAAUUAAUCAUUAUUUUAUACAUUAUUUUUAUGGAUGAAUUUAUUUUUGUUCUCCGUAGUCUAAUCUCUCUUCCCACAGAAGGACGAUUAAACCAAUAAUAAGAAAACCAUAGAUUUUUUAAUUAAAUAAGACCGCAGAUAAAAAUUAGAAUAAAAUUGACUUUAAUGAUCCAGUUAAAAUGAAGUAUGAUACAUCACUUUUAAAAUACAUGUAGGAUAAAUGAAUGACCUAUUAAAAACAUUAAAAAAGUCAAUAAGUUAGAAAAUAAACUAACCACACAUCAGAUUUUUUGCUUCAGAAAUAUAUCGAUUGAAAAACAAUGUUGCACUUGAUGUACAAAUGGCUUUUGAUUGAAUAACUAUUACAUUCAAUUAAAAAAACAAUAACGCCUAGAGAGACUAGAAGUGCCUUUAACCAAAGUAAUUAACUAACCGUCAACACCAUAGAUGGCGCGAUGCUCUUCGACAGAGGAUCAAGACACAAGCUGCUGUUUUUGAGACUUCAAAGAUAUAGAACAACCACCAAACUGAAUAAUAGAAUCUGUAUAAUAACGUCUUGUUGUUGGGCAUCAUGCCCGGCCGGAACUGCCCCAUGCAAUAAGAGACAGAUGAGUCUUAGCUUUUAAAAGAAAACCAUGUCACAGAUUGCCUUUGACCUUGAGUAAACAUAUAAACCUUGUUGUUGCAUCCCAAUGAGUCUGUUUUGGUUCUUGCAUGAACUAAGCAACAAUGUGGACCAGUGUUAAUCUGCAGGUUCAGGAAUUGUACCUCUUUUAACUAAAGCAAGACGUACGAUGGUUCUUCUCCAGAGGCACAGGUCUCCGAAAUGAUAUUAUGAUGGUCACAAAAUGUGAAAGCAGUUUUAAAAAUGUUUCCUACCUAAAAUCCCAAGCGCAAGGCUGAAAUCGAAGUAGUACUAGGUACAAAUUCACAGGGAGGAAGCAGAGUCGACCCUUGGCCAAUCCAAGAAAGCCUAUACUUCCGGCUGAUUCUUUUAUAAAAAAAUAUUUGGUCCUCAAUUAUUCAAAACUUGUCUUAGUCUGGUCAGACUGAUCGUAAAGUCUUAUGUGGCGCUUUUAGUCCCCAUUCCGUGUUCGAAUCUGCAAAUUGCCUUAGUUGUUGGGUCUAUAUGAAAAACGUUGAGAGUCUUUAGAUUUCUGGUAGUCUAUACUCUUAAGGGAAAAAUAAACUUCCUUGGCAGCCUGUUAUAAUCUUAUUUCUUGGACCCAACAGUACGAACAAUGAAAUCGCACUACACAAAACCAAAGAGAAUAUAAUACAGAGACAACAUAAACAACAAACGAUAUUAUUAUGCAAAGAGCAGACAUUACAACUCGAACACUGAGACAUUACAUUAUGAAACUUUAUUCCCAUAGAUUCUUUUUCUUGAGUUACUUCAUUACAAACUCACCAUGGUUCACUUAUAGUCAUACACACGUAUAACUGUAUUAUAUAGAUGUAGCCAUGCAUGGUGGUUAAUAUAAUAUGAAGUUUUUAGUUACCAGGCUGAGUCUCAACUGCUUCUACUCCGUGCCCUCCUCUUCCUCCGUGUCCACCGCGUCCUCCUCUUCCUCCUUUGUAUCCUCCCCCUCCUCCUCCGUAGUGUCCCCCUCCUCCUCCGUAGUGUCCUCCUCCUCCUCCUCCUCCGUAGUGUCCUCCUCCUCCGUAGUGUCCUCCUCUUCCUCCUCCGUAGUGUCCGCCGCGGCCACCACCAUAUCCAUCAGGUUUCACAGUUUCCUCACUCUCUGACUUCACCCCUGUCCAAAAAAAUAUAGAAAAAUCACAUUAUUUCAAAGAUAUUGUUUAGCACGUGCAAAUGUUCUUUCCUCUCCCCGAUUUCAAAAACGAAAUUUCUCUUAUAAACAUUUUAAAAUAUGUAUCGAAUCUCUUGUUUAGAAUAAAGAAUUAUGAGUUUCAAAAUUAAAUAUACGUUCUAUAUAAAAUUUUCACCAAUAUACGUAAGUGUCUUUUAUUACUAGGACAUCAACAUCGUACUUAAGUGUGUUUUUUGACUUAUAAGUCCAUAUAGUUGACCUUCGUUCAAAUCAACCUUCCGGACUUAACACGGACGAAAUAGACAAAUAGAGACAAUAUUAUCAAAUAUGGUACGUUUGUUUGGGUUCGAUUAGCUUCACGAACAUUUAUUUUGUUUCUAUAAAAUAAUUUUAUUUACCCGAUGAUUGCCUUUCUGCGGCAACUUCUGAGACGACGAGAAGUAAUGCAAAGAGACCCAAAAGAAUCAAAGCUUUGGAAGCCAUUUUCUUCUACUGCUUUUAAGUUUAUAACACUCUUUU
rnacentral:lncRNA from 1 species